rnacentral:rRNA from 1 species
AGUGAACGCUGGCGGUAGGCCUAACACAUGCAAGUCGAACGGCAGCACAGUAAGAGCUUGCUCGUACGGGUGGCGAGUGGCGGACGGGUGAGGAAUAUAUCGGAAUCUACUUUUUCGUGGGGGAUAACGUAGGGAAACUUACGCUAAUACCGCAUACGACCUACGGGUGAAAGCAAGGGAUGUUCGGACCUUGUGCGAUUGAAUGAGCCGAGGUCGGAUUAGCUAGUUGGCGGGGUAAAGGCCCACCAAGGCGACGAUCCGUAGCUGGUCUGAGGGGAUGAUCAGCCACACUGGAACUGAGACACGGUCCAGACUCCUACGGGAGGCAGCAGUGGGGAAUAUUGGACAAUGGGCGCAAGCCUGAUCCAGCCAUACCGCGUGGGUGAAGAAGGCCUUCGGGUUGUAAAGCCCUUUUGUUGGGAAAGAAGAGCAGCAGGUUAAUACCCCGCUGUUCUGACGGUACCCAAAGAAUAAGCACCGGCUAACUUCGUG